UAUUAUCUUCAGGGUCUGGUGAGCGAAAAAGCAAUUCCAAACCGGUGGUUAUAGUCCACGAGCAUGAGCUGAACUGGUGUAAUUCCAGUACCGACGGUAAAGUCCGGAAUAAAGAAGAUUAAA
rnacentral:ncRNA from 2 species